AUUGAACGCUGGCGGCAUGCCUUACACAUGCAAGUCGAACGGCAGCAUGAUCUCGCUUGCUAGAUUGAUGGCGAGUGGCGACCGGGUGAGUAAUACAUCGGAACGUGCCCUGUAGUGGGGGAUAACUAGUCGAAAGAUUAGCUAAUACCGCAUACGACCUGAGGGUGAAAGUGGGGGACCGCAAGGCCUCAUGCUAUAGGAGCGGCCGAUGUCUGAUUAGCUAGUUGGUGAGGUAAAGGCUCACCAAGGCGACGAUCAGUAGCUGGUCUGAGAGGACGAUCAGCCACACUGGGACUGAGACACGGCCCAGACUCCUACGGGAGGCAGCAGUGGGGAAUUUUGGACAAUGGGCGAAAGCCUGAUCCAGCAAUGCCGCGUGUGUGAAGAAGGCCUUCGGAUUGUAAAGCACUUUUGUCCGGAAAGAAAUGGCUCUGGUUAAUACCUGGGGUCGAUGACGGUACCGGAAGAAUAAGGACCGGCUAACUACGUG
rnacentral:rRNA from 1 species